UGAAUUUAAGCAUAUCACUAAGCGGAGGAAAAGAAACUAACAAGGAUUCCCCUAGUAGCGGCGAGCGAAGAGGGAAAAGCCCAGCACCGAACCUCGCGCCUUCGGGUGUCGCGGAAUGUGGUGUUCAGGAGGACCGUGCGCGCCUGUCCGGUAUCGUCCAAGUUCCCAUGAAUGGGGCCAGUUACCCAGAGAGGGUGUCAGGCCCGUAGGACGAGCCGCGACUGCGUAUUGGGUCUCUCCUUAGAGUCGGGUUGCUUGAGAGUGCAGCCCUAAGCGGGAGGUAAACUCCUUCUAAGGCUAAAUACGGCCACGAGACCGAUAGCAAACAAGUACCGCGAGGGAAAGUUGAAAAGAACUUUGAAGAGAGAGUUCAAGAGUGCGUGAAACCGUUCAGGGGGUUAAACGGGUGGGCCCUCGAAGGUCGAACGGUCCCCAUCACGGCUCUCGCGCGGCGGUCCGCGGCGUUGUCCGAUUCCUCUCGGAACGGCGCGCUGCGGUUUUCCGUGUGCGGGGGCUGUUAGCUGGGGGCCCAGUAGGACUCCGCAACCGGCUGGGUUUUAGGCCGUCAGAAGGGUUCUGGAGGAAGCCUCCUCGCGGGGUGGAUUCCGGGAUUCCGGGCGGUCCUCUCGGCCGUGUAACCCAAAUUUCUCUCGUUGAGGGAGAAGAGCGCGGAGAGUAGAGUCGGGUCCCACCCGACCCGUCUUGAAACACGGACCAAGGAGUCUAACAUGUACGCGAGUCGUCGGGUACUACUAAACCCGAAGGCGCAAUGAAAGUGAAAGCGCCCUCGUUGGCGGCCGAGGGGAGAUCCCGUUCUGCUCCGGUAGCUCGGGCGCAUCCCCGGGGCGUCGAAGCCGCGUUGCCGGCUAGACGCACCAAGAGCGUACACGUUGGGACCCGAAAGAUGGUGACCUAUGCCUGACCAGGACGAAGCCAGGGGAAACCCUGGUGGAGGUCCGCAGCGAUUCUGACGUGCAAAUCGAUCGUCUGAGUUGGGUAUAGGGGCGAAAGACUAAUCGAACCAUCUAGUAGCUGGUUCCCCCCGAAGUU
rnacentral:rRNA from 1 species